UACGUAGGGAGCAAGCGUUGUCCGGAAUCAUUGGGCGUAAAGCGCUUGUAGGCGGUCCUGUAAGUCCGUUGUGAAAGUCCAAGGCUCAACCUUUGAAAGCCGAUGGAUACUGCAGGGCUAGAGUCCGGAAGAGGCGAGUGGAAUUCCUGGUGUAGCGGUGGAAUGCGCAGAUAUCAGGAGGAACACCAAUAGCGAAGGCAGCUCGCUGGGACGGUACUGACGCUAAGGCGCGAAAGCGUGGGGAGCGAACAGG
rnacentral:rRNA from 1 species